AGGCCUUGACAUGGGAAGCGAAGGAGCAGAGAUGCUCUGGAGGCUAUCUUCCACACAGGUGGUGCAUGGUUGUCGUCAGCUCGUGUCGUGAGAUGUUGGGUUAAGUCCCGCAACGAGCGCAACCCUUGUGAUAUGUUGCCAGUAUUAAGUUAGGCACUCAUAUCAGACUGCCGGUGACAAACCGGAGGAAGGCAGGGAUGACGUCAAAUCAUCAUGCCCCUUAUGGCCUGGGCUACACACGUACUACAAUGGCGUCUACAAAGGGAAGCGAACCAGUGAUGGCCAGCGAAUCCCAUAAAGGGCGUCCCAGUUCGGAUUGAAGCCUGCAACCCGGCUUCAUGAAGAUGGAAUCGCUAGUAAUCGCGGAUCAGCAUGCCGCGGUGAAUACGGUCCCGGGCC
rnacentral:rRNA from 1 species